AUCGAUGACAGGUUGAAGGUGGCUAUGCAGAAAAGGCUUUGUUUAAAUUGUUUGUCGCC
rnacentral:pre_miRNA from 1 species